CGGGGUAUGGUGCAAUGGCAGCACGAACGCUUUGGGAGCGUUUGAUCUCGGUUCGAGUCCGAGUACCCCGA
rfam:Candidatus Staskawiczbacteria bacterium RIFCSPHIGHO2_01_FTLL_34_27 rifcsphigho2_01_scaffold_1452, whole genome shotgun sequence.